GUGUCGGGGGUCGAACCUCGGUGCCGCAGUUAACACAUUAAGUAUUCCGCCUGGGGAGUACGGUCGCAAGACUGAAACUCAAAGGAAUUGACGGGGACCCGCACAAGCAGCGGAGCAUGUGGUUUAAUUCGAAGCAACGCGAAGAACCUUACCAAAUCUUGACAUCCUUUUGACCAUCAUUUAAUCAUGAUCUCUCUUCGGAGCAGAAGUGACAGGUGGUGCAUGGUUGUCGUCAGCUCGUGUCGUGAGAUGUUGGGUUAAGUCCCGCAACGAGCGCAACCCUUGUCUUUAGUUGUCAUCAGGUAAUGCUGGACCCUCUAAAGAGACUGCCGGUGAUAAACCGGAGGAAGGUGGGGAUGACGUCAAAUCAUCAUGCCCCUUAUGAUUUGGGCUACACACGUGCUACAAUGGUCGGUACAACAGGCAGCGAAAGGGUAACCUGGAGCGAAUCCUCUAAAGCCGAUCUCAGUUCGGAUUGUGGGCUGCAACUCGCCCACAUGAAGUUGGAGUUGCUAGUAAUCGUGAAUCAGAAUGUCGCGGUGAAUGCGUUCCCGGGUCUUGUACACACCGCCCGUCACACCAUGGAAGUUGGGGGCGCCCGAAGCCAGUGAUCCAACCGUAAGGAGGAAGCUGUCGAAGGUGAAACCAAUGACUAGGGUGAAGUCGUAACAAGGUACCCG
rnacentral:rRNA from 1 species